AAACUUCCGGUUGUUUAUGACAGGGAGGCUUGUUAAGCUAACGGCUCAAGAAGGACCGAAAACACUGCGUCCAGGAUGGACGUCAGCAUCGCGGUGACGCUGAUCCGGGGCCAGAUGGGCGCGGUGGUGGAGCGGGCGGUGAACGUCGCCGUGGAGACGGUGCUGGCGGAGAUGCUGAAGGUGGUGGGGGCCAAGUUCGAGGAGCUGAAGGCGGAGCUGGCGCUGGCCAAGCGCGGCGCGGCGGCGCUGCAGAGGGAGGCGGCGCUGAGGGAGAAGGAGAACGACAACGUGCGGGCGCGCCUGCGCUACACCGAGCUCAAGCUGAAGUACUACCGGCAGGGCGUGGAGGAGGAGCUGCAGCAGAGGGCCUGCGCCGCCUUCAGGGGCCCGCCGGAGCGGGAAGCGUCUCACAGGAAAGACGGAGACCAGCAGGACCAGUUCAGCUGGCCCGCCGCCGUGCUGCCCCCCCCGGAGGCGCCGGACACCACCGGAGACCCCUCGAAGGGCGCCGCGGACGAGGCCAAGCCUCCGCCCACCGGUUCACUGCCUCCAGACGCCUGCGAUCACACCAACUGCUCCAUGCUGCCCCCUACUGCUCCGAAGGUGAAGCUGGAGGCGCUGUCGGAGCAGGAGGAGCUGAUCACCAUCAAGGAGGAGCCAGAGGAGGAAGAGGAGGAGGAGGAAGAGGAGGAGGAGCAGGUCGUGAUGGCCAGCCUGCUGCUGGACUCGCAGCUCCCUGGGUCCGAGACUCACAGAUCACUCAGCCAGUGGACCAAACUGUCAGCCAAUCAGACGGGCCAGUCUGCAGCCUUCAGCUCCUCCUCGCAGAGCUCCUGUGGGUUUCCUUACGGCUCAGACCCUCAGCUGCCCGCCCCCCUGCCCCCCCCGGCAGCGCUGCCCUCCGGCCCGCUGCCCUGGACCAAAGAGCUGAGUCUCUACGAGGAGUACAAACUGCGCCGGAACGAGCUGCGGCGGCGGAACCUGAACCGACGCAAAGAGCUGGAGAAGACGCUGCCGCAGCCUCUGCUGGCCGACCUGAUUCGGGAGCGGCGGGAGAAGACCAGGCUGCGGGUGGCCCGGUGGAGAGCCAAGAGGAAGCUGCAGGCUCAAGGUGGCGCUGCAGUUCUUUCUCAAGCUGGAUUUCCUGUCGGCGGGCAGCAGCUCCGAACAGGAGGUUUGUCCCCUGCGGCUCAACAGAAGGCCGACUCAGCGGCGCCCCCUACGCAGCUCUUCCUGAACAGCAUGAACAGCAGCGUGGCCUCCAUCCUCACCUUCCUCCCGUCCUCCUCCUCCUCCUCCUCCUCCUGCGCCCCCUCCUGCUCCACCUCCCUGCAGGCCUCCAGCAUGGCUCCGCCCGAACACAGCCUCACUUCCUGCUUCCCACCGAGCAGCCAAUCACAGCAGGGCACCUCUCCCAGUGAAUUCCCAGAGUGAAACACACACUGCUGUUUUUAUUGUUUUUGGAUCUAAUGUUUUCAGAAAGUGUGUUUGUAAAUAUAUAUAAAUAUAUUUGUAUGUAUAUAGUUGUUGAUUUUUGACUCUCUUGAGUUGAAUAAAAGUCAUUCUGCUGAGGUUCAUGUGA
ensembl:lncRNA